GAUCCUGGCUCAGGAUGAACGCUGGCGGCGUGCUUAACACAUGCAAGUCGAACGAGGAAUUUUAAAUGAGACUUCGGUGGAUUUUAAAAUUCUUAGUGGCGGGCGGGUGAGUAACGCGUGGGCAACCUGCCCUGUACAGGGGGACAACAGCUGGAAACGGCUGCUAAUACCGCAUAAGCGCACAGCAUCGCAUGAUGCCGUGUGAAAAACUCCGGUGGUACAGGAUGGGCCCGCGUUGGAUUAGGUAG
rnacentral:rRNA from 1 species